rnacentral:rRNA from 1 species
CGGCGAAAGCCGGAUUAAUACCGCAUACGAUCUCUGGAUGAAAGCGGGGGACCGAAAGGCCUCGCGCUCAAGGGGCGGCCGAUGGCAGAUUAGCUAGUUGGUGGGGUAAAGGCCUACCAAGGCGACGAUCUGUAGCUGGUCUGAGAGGACGACCAGCCACACUGGGACUGAGACACGGCCCAGACUCCUACGGGAGGCAGCAGUGGGGAAUUUUGGACAAUGGGGGCAACCCUGAUCCAGCAAUGCCGCGUGUGUGAAGAAGGCCUUCGGGUUGUAAAGCACUUUUGUCCGGAAAGAAAACCUCUUCUCUAAUACAUAGGUGGGAUGACGGUACCGGAAGAAUAAGCACC